rnacentral:rRNA from 1 species
CCUACGGGUGGCAGCAGUAGGGAAUCUUCGGCAAUGGGGGGAACCCUGACCGAGCAACGCCGCGUGAGUGAAGAAGGUUUUCGGAUCGUAAAGCUCUGUUGUUAAGGAAGAACGAGUGUGAGAAUGGAAAGUUCAUGCUGUGACGGUACUUAACCAGAAAGGGACGGCUAACUACGUGCCAGCAGCCGCGGUAAUACGUAGGUCCCGAGCGUUGUCCGGAUUUAUUGGGCGUAAAGCGAGCGCAGGCGGUUAGAAAAGUCUGAAGUGAAAGGCAGUGGCUCAACCAUUGUAGGCUUUGGAAACUGUUUAACUUGAGUGCAGAAGGGGAGAGUGGAAUUCCAUGUGUAGCGGUGAAAUGCGUAGAUAUAUGGAGGAACACCGGUGGCGAAAGCGGCUCUCUGGUCUGUAACUGACGCUGAGGCUCGAAAGCGUGGGGAGCGAACAGGAUUAGAUACCCCAGUAGUC